rnacentral:lncRNA from 10 species
GAGCUAAGCACAGAGUACUGUGAAUACAGUACUGGUCAUCUCACUCCGACUUGGAAGCAGUUAAAGAAAGCUUCAUAGAAGACAUUUCUAAAAGUGUCCUGGAUCAUAAGAAAGGUUUCAAUAAGGAAGGAAAAGGAAAUGAAAGGGAAGAAUGGCCCACUCAGGAACAACAUCAUGAGAAAAGGCCUGCAGACAAGAAAGUGUGCUGUGUACUGAGACAAAAAGUAGUUUGCCGUAUGUGGAGAAUGGGAGCUAGAGGGAAGGAAGAUAAAGAGACUGAAGGUAAAGAGAGAAAGAAAAACUGAUAGAAAAGGUUUCCUGAGAAGAAAUGAGAUAUAGAAUCCAAAACACAGAGGGAGGAAUUAGCAGAUGAUGAACACCUUUUCUGUUGUACCAGAAGAAAACAGUAGGCACAAACGUGGUGCAGAAUACUAGAUUCCUAUGUAAAAGGAGAAAAAACAUGGAAGUUUCAAUCAGGAAAGUUCCACAAGGCUACUGGGGAGUCUUCGACCAAAGUCACCCAUCAGAGGAGUCCCACAUGUCCCAGGAAUUUGGGAUUUUUUUGUCAUACUCAUUCACUGAUGGAGAGCAGCACAUGGGAAGUGUGGCUGUGGUGCAAAUGUGGUGAUGGAUUUCAGAGCCAGGUAGAAGAUCUCUUGGUCAAUUAUGCUCCCUGCUCUGACAGGCAAGUUCCCACAAUGGCCACACCAGUGAGUCGGCUCCCUGGAAAUGUCAGUAUAACACAGAGAAACCUCUCCUUAAAAUGGUAGCAUCCACUUUACGAGUUAAGAAGAGUAAGAAGUGAGCAACACAUGGCAUUCUAUUACGGCAUUGCAAGUUGCGGCAAUGAUUUCUUUGUUGUCUUGAUAUCAAAAUUUAACUCUAUCAUGGUAUAAAUUGAUCUUGUCAUUGUGACCCAUGAACAUUUACUGAAUAUUUAUGAUAUGUUUACCAAUGAGAAUGCAAAGAGGUCUCAGACUCUUUAUCUCAAGAGGCUUAUCUAUUUAGGGGGAAAAUGCAUGUAUAUUAAAGAAUUCCAGAUAGUAUAGUCUACCAAGUCUAGAGUUUAUUUAUUUCACUUAUAAGCUAUAGAAUGAACCUGUAAUGCUUUCCCAGAAGUGUAGCAGAAGAUACAAGAUCCUGGGUCAGAAAUGAAGGAUUUUGUGAUUUACAGCACAGCAAGCAGCAGUGGAGUUUGGGGAGCCCACUGCUUUUCCAACAAGCAGAAAGUUAGCCUGAUCUUUGUUGAAGGCGGAUACAUUACCUCAUCUUGCAGGUAACCAGCUGCAUAAACAAGUGUGAGAAAUGGCCUGAGUAUCAGGGCCUUGCAGUCUUGGCUCACCCAGCAAGACAUGUAGGAACUCAAGAAGCCCAAGGAAGGCUGCCUCCUCCAACACAGGCAGAAAGUCAAAUGGUCAAUACCAGUGACAGCACCACUGAAGUUUGGAAAUCAGAAAUAACAGGACAUUCAUGACAUAGGGGAAAUGGAUUUUUUUUUCAUGAAUAUAAACCAAAAAUAAAAUUCUAAGCCCCUCAACCAUCUGAAUGGACCGCUCCUUUUGGCCAGGGCACUCCAAAGUUAAUCUGAAAAACUAAUUCAAGCCAUGAUAGGAAGUAGGGGUCAGACAUGCCUCAUUAAACUCUCCUCCCUUUUGGAAUUCAGGAAAAACUGGACUAGCAUUAACAACACAGACCUUAAGUCUGAUAAACAUUUACAAUCUGUUCUCUCUGAAGCCUACUACCUGGAGGCUUCAUCUGCAUAAUAAAACCUUGAUCUCCACAACCCCUUAUCAUAACUCAGACAUUCCUUUCUAUUGAUAAUAAUUCCUUCAACCAAUUACCAAUCAGAAAAUUUUAAAAUCUAUCCAGGACCUGGAACACCCACCCCUACCUCCUCAUGCUUUGAGUUGUCCUACCUUUCCAGGUCAAACCAAUGUACAUCUUACAUGUAUUGAUUAAUGACUUGUGUCUCCCUAAAAUGUAUAAAAGCAAGCUGUACCCCUACCGCCUUGGGCACAUGUCAUCAGGACCUCCUGAGGCUGUGUCACAGGUGCAUCUUUAACCUUGGCAAAAUAAACUUUCUAAAUUGAUUGAGUCCUGCCUCAGAUACUUUUGGGUUCACAUUACAAAAACGAAGAAAAGAUUACUGCCUAUAGUAAAAUAUUUAUUAUUAGCUUACCUCAACAGGCAGCAGUGGUUU